rnacentral:rRNA from 1 species
AGUCGAGGGGUAUAUGUCUUCGGAUAUAGAGACCGGCGCACGGGUGCGUAACGCGUAUGCAAUCUACCUUUUACAGAGGGAUAGCCCAGAGAAAUUUGGAUUAAUACCUCAUAGUAUUAUUGAGUGGCAUCACUUAAUAAUUAAAGUCACAACGGUAAAAGAUGAGCAUGCGUCCCAUUAGCUAGUUGGUAAGGUAACGGCUUACCAAGGCAACGAUGGGUAGGGGUCCUGAGAGGGAGAUCCCCCACACUGGUACUGAGACACGGACCAGACUCCUACGGGAGGCAGCAGUGAGGAAUAUUGGACAAUGGGCGCAAGCCUGAUCCAGCCAUGCCGCGUGCAGGAUGACGGUCCUAUGGAUUGUAAACUGCUUUUGUACGAGAAGAAACACUGCUUCGUGAAGCAGCUUGACGGUAUCGUAAGAAUAAGGAUCGGCUAACUCCGUGCCAGCAGCCGCGGUAAUACGGAGGAUCCAAGCGUUAUCCGGAAUCAUUGGGUUUAAAGGGUCCGUAGGCGGUUUAGUAAGUCAGUGGUGAAAGCCCAUCGCUCAACGGUGGAACGGCCAUUGAUACUGCUGAACUUGAAUUAUUAGGAAGUAACUAGAAUAUGUAGUGUAGCGGUGAAAUGCUUAGAGAUUACAUGGAAUACCAAUUGCGAAAGGCAGGUUACUACUAAUUGAUUGACGCUGAUGG